UACGGAGGGUGCGAGCGUUGUCCGGAAUCACUGGGCGUAAAGGGCGCGUAGGUGGCGCGGUUAGUCAGCGGUGAAAGCCCGAGGCUCAACUUCGGGUCGGCCGUUGAUACUGCCGUGCUUGAGCACUGUAGAGGCAGAUGGAAUUCCGGGUGUAGCGGUGGAAUGCGUAGAGAUCCGGAAGAACACCGGUGGCGAAGGCGGUCUGCUGGGCAGUUGCUGACACUGAGGCGCGACAGCGUGGGGAGCAAACAGG
rnacentral:rRNA from 1 species